rnacentral:rRNA from 1 species
CGUGAGACAGUUUGGUCCAUAUCCGGUGUAGGCGUUAGAGCAUUGAGAGUAGCCUUUCAUAGUACGAGAGGACCUGAAAGGACAUGCCAAUUGUGUACCAGUUCUCAUUCCAAUGGGAAACGCUGGGUAGCUACGCAUGGAUAGAUAACUGCUGAAAGCAUCUAAGUAGGAAGCUAAACUCAAGAUGAGUGCUCUCUAAGGCCGCGGCUAGACAAGCCGUUAUAUAGGUAUCAGGUGUACAGUCAGCAAUGGCUUUAGCCGAGAUAUACUAAAGGCCGUUUGAUUUUGACCUU